UUGGGAAUCUUGCACAAUGGGGGAAACCCUGAUGCAGCGACGCCGCGUGGAGGAUGAAGGAUCUAGGUCCGUAAACUCCUUUUUCAGGGAAAGACUUAGGACGGUACCCUGAGAAUAAGGACCGGCUAACUACGUGCCAGCAGCCGCGGUAAGACGUAGGGUCCAAGCGUUGUCCGGAUUUACUGGGCGUAAAGAGCGCGUAGGCGGUCUUGUAAGUGUGAAGUGAAAUCUCCAGGGCUCAACCCGGAAACUGCUUUACAUACUGCAAGACUGGAGUGAUGAAGAGGUUUGUGGAAUUCCUGGUGUAACGGUGAAAUGUGUUGAUAUCAGGAGGAACACCCAUGGCGAAGGCAGCAAACUGGUCAUCAACUGACGCUGAGGCGCGAAAGCGUGGGUAGCAAACAGGAUUAGAUACCCCCGUAGUCC
rnacentral:rRNA from 1 species